CCGAACCUAACACACCUCCUUCCGCCGGAGGCAGCCGUCGUGGGCGAGCGAGCGACGGCGUCAGUUGGAGCGAGGGAGCCCGCGGCUCCACCAAGCGCCGCCGGCGCUGCCCCCGGACCCAGCCACCACCGCCGCACUCAGACCAGCCACCUCCUUUGCCCUCACACCCAUCUAACUCCAUGGGAAACCGCUGCUGGCACUCUCCACCUUCCACCCCAGUCGCUGCUUCCAACCUGCGAGGCCAGGAACCAGCCCUCGUCGCCCCUCCCGUGCCCGUCCAGGGUACGUCCGAGGACAGCGUGUAGGCGGCAAGUGUACUAGUGAGCAGCUACUGAACUGAUUCUGACACUGAAACAUUAAUCCACUCUGCCUCCUCCGACGAGUUCUUCAGUCCAAGUUCUCCCACGAGGCCGUCUCUGGUUUCGUUUCCCUUAACAUUGGUAAGAGAAAAGAUCAUUCGACUUCAAAUCUGUUUGGACUGGUAGUUCAACUUCUUUCGUACAGAAGGUUCAGAAAGUUUUGUACCUGAAAAUGCACAUAUUUGGAGUACGCGAAUAUAUAUGUGUGUUUCUGAGUUUUGCUCUUGUGUAAAAGUUCAAUAUGUAUUAUGUCAUCAAUUCGUAAUGAAAAGGCGGGAACAAUUCAA